AACGAACGCUGGCGGCGCGCCUAAUACAUGCAAGUCGAGCGAGAAGGUGUAGCAAUACACUUGUAAAGCGGCGAACGGGUGAGGAAUACAUGGGUAAUCUACCAUCGAGUGGGGAAUAACCAACCGAAAGGUUGGCUAAUACCGCGUACGCCUCCGAGUCUUCGGGUUCGGAGGGAAAGCUGCACUGUGAGUGUAGCGCUCUUUGAUGAGCUCAUGUCCUAUCAGCUUGUUGGUAGGGUAACGGCCUACCAAGGCUUUGACGGGUAGCUGGUCUGAGAGGACGAUCAGCCACACUGGCACUGCGACACGGGGCCAGACUCCUACGGGAGGCAGCAGUAAGGAAUAUUGCGCAAUGGGCGAAAGCCUGACGCAGCGACGCCGCGUGGGGGAUGAAGGUCUUCGGAUUGUAAACCCCUUUCGGGAGGGAAGAUGGAACGAGCAAUCGUUCGGACGGUACCUCCAGAAGCAGCCACGGCCAACUUCGUGCCAGCAGCCG
rnacentral:rRNA from 1 species